rnacentral:rRNA from 1 species
AACGCGAAGAACCUUACCUACCCUUGACAUGUGCGGAAUCCUCCAGAGAUGGAGGAGUGCCCGAAAGGGAACCGCAACACAGGUGCUGCAUGGCUGUCGUCAGCUCGUGUCGUGAGAUGUUGGGUUAAGUCCCGCAACGAGCGCAACCCUUGCCACUAGUUGCUACAUUCAGUUGAGCACUCUAAUGGGACUGCCGGUGACAAACCGGAGGAAGGUGGGGAUGACGUCAAGUCCUCAUGGCCCUUAUGGGUAGGGCUACACACGUCAUACAAUGGCGCGUACAGAGGGUUGCCAACCCGCGAGGGGGAGCCAAUCCCAGAAAGCGCGUCGUAGUCCGGAUUGAAGUCUGCAACUCGACUUCAUGAAGUCGGAAUCGCUAGUAAUCGCGGAUCAGCAUGUCGCGGUGAAUACGUUCCCGGGCCUUGUA